rnacentral:sRNA from 1 species
GCCGGGCAUGGUGGCCCAUGCCUGUCAUCCCAGCAGCUUGGGAGGCUGAGUGAGGCAGGAGGAUCACGAAUUCAAAGCCAGCCUCAGCAAAAGUGAGGCCCUAAACAACUCAGCAAGACCCUGUCUCUA